rnacentral:misc_RNA from 1 species
CACGAAGGGAAAUGGCGGAUACAGUCGAAGGAUGGAAAAGUAGUAUUUAAGUUUGCUUCAGUGGUAGAGCGCCACUAAAGCUGGACUUAUCAGAGAGCAUGAGCUGUUGUUAAGGGACAGAAAGAGAACAUAACCUUGCUUGAGUUUUAUUCUCCUCCCGUAUCACGAUAAUAGUGUGUGAGCACAGACUGCAGUACUGAAGACCCGUAUGUAUUGAGAGAGAAGCCGUGGAGCGGUGAAGAAAUACUCAGUGCAUAAUAGAAAAUCACUACGUUCAACAUAGGAGAAGUAGUUAGACUAGAAAGGUAUCCAAAACUGAAGAUGACUAACAACUACCGACAUAAAAACAUCUCCUGGUGCUAUAUGUGUGAACUAAUUUACGUGUUUUUUCUGGUUGCCUAUAUUUUAACAGUCGUGUCUGAAUCUGCAGCGGUCAGUGUAGUCACUUCUUUUCCACCUACACGUGCUCCAAAAUGCGAUCGCUUGUUCGUCAGUAACAGUGUAGACACAAAGAAUGGAACUUUCGAAUCGCCAGUCGUAUCAAAUCUCAUGAACCACUCUCGUCAGUGUAUCUACGUUUUCAUAGCGGCUGAGGACGAAAGGGUUAAAAUAACAUUUAACAAGUUUAACCUUCGAGGAGCGCCACCCGAAUGCAAUCACGAAUUUAUUGAUUUAUACACGGAGAUCGACGAUCCUGUAAAGGAACUUAUUGAAACCCCCUUUGGAGGGCGUUACUGUGGCAAGACGUUACCACGUACCCGUAUCUCUAUGUACCAAACACUUACCAUCAGUUUCUAUAGUGAUGCCAGUACGGUAACACCAAAUGCUUUCCAAGGAACGUACGAGUUUGUUAAUGCUUCCAAGUAUUCAAUCGGAACACCAGCACCCAGCUCUAUAUGUACUUUUACAGUAUAUCACGACAGAAAAAAAGAAGGACUUUUUGUUUCUCCAACUUACCCUGGGGUAUAUCCUAAAAACCUCCACUGCCAAUAUCGCUUUCUUGGCAGAGCAGGUCAAAGAGUUCGACUUGAAUUUAUGGACUUUGACUUGUUCUACGGAGGCCCUCACUGCCCCUUCGACCACGUGAAGGUAUUUGAUGGCAAAACGAAAAAUGAUCCACUGAUUGGGACUUACUGCGGGCAGAGGCGUAAUCUCAUGGUAUAUUCGUCCGCCGAGAAUCUGUAUGUGGAGUUUAAUACGUUGAGAAGAACAGCCGAUACUCAGAACCGCGGGUUUUCUGGAUUCUUUGAAUUUAGCGAAGGUUUUGUGAAUCUAGCUUUCAUAGGAAAGUAUGAUGCUCAACACAUUAGAGGGACAGAAUGUGAUCAGAAAAUACUAAGUAAGCAGGAAUCUAACGGAACAGUCUUCUCUCCUAACUGGCCAUUUCUCUACUACGCUAACAUUGUUUGUCGUUACUAUAUCUAUGGCAUGAAGGACGCCCAGUACUUGGAGAAAGUCAGGCUGGAGUUUGACAAGUUUGAAAUCCCUAGCAAGGACGAGGAGUGUAACGAGGCCUAUCUUAAGCUCUACCUGCAGGGUCAGGAGGAAAGGAAUGCUGUAGACGAAUACGAUCACGUGUUCUGUGGUGAAACGACUCCUCCUACUCUUGUAUCAGAUGGCCCUCGACUCAUGUUGAUAUUUAGUAGUGGUUCUUCUCAAGGGAAAGGAUUUAAAGCAAGAUAUACCUUUGAAACCGAUUAUAGGGUUCCUGGUACUCCAUCUCCUAAUAGAACCUGCCAUUUUAUAUACAAAAGUGAGAGCAGUAAAACUGGCGAUUUCAACUCUCCAAGAUAUCCUUCCAAUUAUCCUUCCAGUCUUUACUGUCAGUAUGUCUUCAAGGGUCUUCCAGGGGAGCAAGUUCAGUUUGUCUUCAACUACUUCAAGACUAAAAGUUCUUUGAUUUCUUCUCACGGGUACAAUGAAAUGUGUACAGAGGACUGGAUUGAAAUAUAUCAAGUGUAUCCUAGCAGUAGAGAAAACAAAUUUGGUAGAUAUUGCUCUAGAACUGCUCCUGGACCUAUAGUCUCUGAUGUGGGCGUACAUGAUAUGAAAGUCAUGCUCAACACAGAUAACAGUGAUGUUGCUAGCGGUUUUAGCGCCACCUACUUAUUCUUCCCGUCAAAGCCCAAAUUCUCUGAUUGUGGAGGAAAUAUCACAGGAACCUCUAAUGGAAUAAUCAUCAGUCCAGGUUUCCCUUCCCCAUACGAACCACACCAACAGAUAUGUAACUGGUACAUUACCGUCCAACAGUUCCACAAAGUUUUGCUAUCGUUUGAUUACUUCUUGAUCGAAGGAGACCCUUUAGCGUCCAUAAUCAGAAACUUAACAAUGAAGGUCCUUCUCUACAGAGAGAGGUUGUCCAGGAGCUGUGGUGAGAGUGUGGAGUAACCUAAGCCUACCGCCGAUGGAACUUUGUGGUGAAAGAAUGACAAACCAGACCCAUCAAAUACUCUCGUCCUCAAGUGAGUUAAAACUCCAGUUUGUCACGGCGGACAAAGCGGUCGGUUCUGGGGGGUUUAGAGCCAUUUGGACAGAGGUGAAGGAAG